CAGCAGCCGCGGUAACACGAGGGGAGCUAGCGUUAUUCGGAAUUACUGGGCGUAAAGCGCACGUAGGCGGCUUUGUAAGUUAGAGGUGAAAGCCCAGAGCUCAACUCUGGAAUUGCCUUUAAGACUGCAUCGCUUGAAUCCAGGAGAGGUGAGUGGAAUUCCGAGUGUAGAGGUGAAAUUCGUAGAUAUUCGGAAGAACACCAGUGGCGGAGGCGGCUCACUGGACUGGUAUUGACGCUGAGGUGCGAAAGCGUGGGGAGCAAACUGGAUUAGAUACCCGUGUAGUCCCUGUCUCUUAUAC
rnacentral:rRNA from 1 species